GUUAAGCGUGCUUGGCCUAGAGUAAUUUUAGGAUGGGUGACC
rnacentral:rRNA from 2 species